CAGGUGGAGGACGUGGGCGCGGUGCGGCUGUUCGUGGGCCUGCCGAUCAACUCGGUGACGGACGGCGCGACGGUGAACAGCGCCAGGGGCAUCGAGGCCGGGAUGCGCGCCGUGAAGCUCCUGGGCGUGGACGGCGUGGAGCUGCAGGUGUUCUGGUCCGUGGUGCAGCCGGAGUCGCCGGACAAGUUCUCGUGGGCCGGGUACCGCGCCGUGGCCGACAUGGCCCGCGACGAGGGCCUCAACCUCCGGGUCUCCCUCCGCAUCCACGGCUCGCCGGGCGGCAGCGUCCCCAAGCUCCCGUCCUGGGUCGGCGCCGCCGCCGCCAAGGACCGCGACAUCCUCUUCACCGACGGCGCCGGCGGGCGCCACGAGGACUGCCUCUCCUUCGCCGUCGACGAGCUCCCCGUGCUCGCCGGCAUGUCCCCCCUCCAGCGCUACGAGGCCUUCUUCCGCAGCUUCGUCGACGCCUUCGACGACCUCUUCGAGUCCACCAUCACCGACGUGACGGUGGGGCUGGGGCCGAACGGCGAGCUCCGGUACCCGUCGUACCCGCCGGGGAGCGACGUGACGCAGUUCAUCGGCGUGGGCGAGUUCCAGUGCUACGACAAGUACAUGCUGGCGCAGCUGAGGCAGCACGCGGAGGCGCUGGGCAACCCGAUGUGGGGCCUCGCCGGCCCGCACAACGCGCCGGGGUACAACGAGUCGCCGGACUCGAGCGAGUUCUUCCGCGACCACGGCUCGUGGGACAGCCCCUACGGCGAUUUCUUCCUCUCCUGGUACGCCGGGAAGCUGCUCAGCCACGGCGACCGCGUCCUCGGCAUGGCGAGCCGCGUGUUCGGCAGCAAGCCGGUGGAGCUGUCGGCCAAGGUGCCGUUCAUGCACUGGUGGCACGGCGCGCAGUCGCGGCCGGCGGAGGCGGUGGCGGGGUUCUACAAGAGCAACAAGAAGAACGGGUACAGCCCGGUGGCCAAGGUGUUCGCGCAGCACGGGUGCACCAUGGUGGUGCCCGGCAUGGACGUGUGCAUGAACAAGCAGCAGCGGAACACGGGGUCCAGCCCGGACAAGCUGCUGGUGCAGAUCAAGAACGCGUGCCGGCGGCACGGCGCGCGCAUCGCCGGCGAGAACGCGUCGCUGGUGAUGACGCACACCAGCAGCUUCCCGCGGAUCAAGAGCAACAUCGUCACCGCGGAGCUGAUGCGGCCGACCUUCUUCACCUACAGGCGGAUGGGGGCCGAGUUCUUCUCGCCGGAGCACUGGCCGCCCUUCAUGGAGUUCGUGCGCAGCGUCGUCUGCGGCGAGUGGGACGAGGACGACGAGACGGCCGCCGCCGUCUCCACCUACGACGAGCUGCCGCAGCCAGUUUGA
rnacentral:rRNA from 1 species